rnacentral:lncRNA from 1 species
GGGAAGGUCAGUUCGAUGCUUUCUGGAGAACUAUCCUUCCAAGGUGGAGAUCCCAUCUUGGAUACCACAUUACCUUAAACACUGCCUCAGCCAGGUGAUCAAGGUCAACGUCUACUGUGAUAAGUCAUGGUUUUGGUGUGUACCCUUGAUGUGAUGUGAUAAAAAUGGCACUUUACCUCUGUGGUCUUCCUCUGAAAAAUCCCGUAACAGCAGCCUAAUCAUGAGAAGCAUAUCAACAAAACUCAGACUCAGGGACAUUCUACAAAAUACCAGGCUGUCCCUCCCUGAAAUUGUCAAGUUCACCAAAAACAAGGUGAAUCUAAGAAACCUGUUACAGCCAAGAGGAGCCUAAGAAGACAUGAGGACUAAAUAUAACAUGGAAUUCGGGAUAGGAUUGUGCUACAGAAAAUGUAUGUGCUAAUGUGAGAUGUUAACAGUUGGAGAAACUCAGUUUUGGGUAUAAGGAAUUCUCUGUACUAUGUUUAUCUAAAAACAAUUCCAUGGUGAGCAAACUUAAGCAUAGAAAUGUUAAAUAAAUUGUCCAAAAUAGAGAAGUAAAUAGCAGUGCCAGGUUUCAAGCAUAAGAAUCAUCAACUCUGAACUUUAAACACAGCUCUGUAUGGUACUUUUGUUUAUAUCAAUGCCUAGAUAGAUAAAUAGGUAGAUAGAUAAUUUCCAAGUGCUAGAAACAAAAAAGGAACUAAAACUGAUAAAGAAUAUAAAUGAGGCCAGGCAGGGUGGCUCACACCUGUAAUCCCAGCAUUUUGGGAGGCCGAGGCAGGCAGAUCACUGAAGGUUCGGAGUUCAAGACCAGCCUGGCCAACUGGGGAAACCCUGUCUCUACUAAAAAAAAAAAAAAAUAGCCAGGCAUGGUGGCAUGUGCCUGUGAAGCAAGAGAUGUGAGAGGAAAAACAAAUUUUUCCUCUUUCUUUUGGUAUGGGCAGCUUCCCCCUUGAAUCCCUCCUCACUCCUUGUGAUUUUACCCUGCUCUGUAAGUUUUAUGAGUUUAUAGAUUCCUGUUUUCUGUAACUAGUGUCUGUAAGUCUCUGUAGCACCGUGGAGGUAAUGAGACAUGCUUGAGCAAGCUUAGAUUGCAGCCAUCUGGGCGCCAUAGCGAAGGACACGAGAUAAGGCUGUGCAGGCAUCUUGAGCAAACCUAGAUAACAGCCACCUGGCCUGCACAGCAAGAAUCAUGUGUAAGCUUGAGUUAGGAACCUGUCACAGUUUGAUUAACUGCCUUUGUUCUGCUUCUGUAAGCUUGCUUUCCACACCCCACAAGCUUUGCGCCACUGGCAAGCCACCCUCCUUCAGUUGCAUGAAUAAAAGUCAAGCCCUGUCUUCUUUUGUUGCUCAGCCUCUGGAUAUUAAUCCACUAAGCCAGUGGCAACCUAAAUAAAAUCCUCCUGUUCC